rnacentral:lncRNA from 1 species
GACUAAAAGAGGGUGAGAAAUAGCAGCCCAGGACUGCAUUCACAGUGAGCCAUGCUGGAUAAGACAGGGAUGGAGAAACAGGGCACAGGACUGUCCCCAGGCCUGCCUUCUGGGAUGAGGGGGGCCUCCUCCCACUGUGAGGGGCUCCUUGACUCAGGGACCUCCCACCUGGGGGAGGCUGGGUGCACUCCCCCACUUCAGCCUCCCUGGCAUAGAUGAGGCUCAUUCUCAGCUUCUCCUGGAGGGAAAGAAAAGCUCGUAAAUUGUUACCAGUUUUUCCCUCACUUUUAUGUUUCCUCUUCAUGUUUAACCUUUGAUUAUUUGAUUAAGAUCUCUAAGAGGAGCUUGUUCAGUCUAAGCUCAAUUCGCCUUCAUUAUCAUUCCUCAGAAUCCUUGAACAUAAAGGGAUCUAAACCAAACGUCUGGACAUUGAGCGCAGCCGUGCAAACAGCCUCUGGUAAUUCCAGGCAAGGAGUGAAGAUAUCCAGCAAAUGGCAAGCAGUGGAGGUCGUACCUAUUUUCUUUCUGAGAUGAUCCCCAACAGGGAGUCAGGACUAGUCCUUAAAUUAUGUUUGUUUACAAAAGUUGCUUUACCUUUUUGAGCUUAAAAGUCCAGCUGUGCACAAAAGAGAUCACGGACCAUUGCAAUUAAAAGGGACUUUGGUGUUUACUUAGUUCUCCCCAUUGCAUCUCACAUGGUGGAAAGGGACAGCGGGAGAAGCGUAAUUCGAAAUUUCUAACAGCCUUAACAGCAUUCUGUAGCUAUUUUCCUCUAGAGAACUUAGAAGCAGUUGAAAGUACUUUUAAAUGGCUACUGUGGUCUGAUUUAUUCCUCCAGAAGGAGGACCGCAAAUGUGAGGAUGGGAACAGAAGUGAGGAAAACACACUGAAUCAAUGGACACAAAAGAAGAAUGAUUACGAAAAGCCUGCCUGAGCUUAUUCGGAUUCAUUCCACCCUAAACAAAUCCUCAAAUAGAGAAAGCACCAUCAAAUAUUGAUGAAAUAAGGGAAAAUGCCAAGUUACCCACUUCUUCUUAAAAUGUACUAAUGAACAGAUCCAGUGAUGUUUACACGUCUUAACUGCUAAUUCAAUAAACAUUAAUGAGCAUCAGCUCUGUCCUAAAUCCAUGGCGAUUAGGGUAAAAGUAAGGAUGUACAUAUGCAUGGGGAGAAGAGCAAACAUUUAUGGAGGGCUACAAUGGCACUGGGCUAAGUAUUAGCUCAUUUAACCUUAGUCAUAAGUACAAUUGUUUGCCCAUUUUAUAGGUAAGGAAACUGAAAUUUAGAACAGGGAAGUAACUCGCCCGAGAUUCCAGAGCUGGCAGGUGACUGCGUUGUGUUCCUGACCCAGGUCAGCCCUAGUUCCUAACUGAGGUGCUUUACUGACUCCCAGAAGACAAGCUCCCCUGAACUUGUAGUUGGAUAGGUGGGGCUCACGGGACAGAAUCCAUAGGAUGAGGACCCCAAGUGGGAAAGGAUAUAGUUAAAGGAGAGUCACAGGGAAGGUCAUACUAGGGCAGGAGCUAAAGAACGAGGGAGGAGGCAUCCUUUCAGAGAGAGGUGGGAAAGUGGGCUUUAGGGAUAAACAGAAGCAUCCUACCUGGCACCAUGGGAGAACCAGAUGGUGCUAGGGUCACUCCAGUCACACCCCAGCCGCUCAGCUUUGGGCCUAAAUCAGUUUCAGAAAGAGAGCAGCCUUGGUGCAGUCAGGGGGAAGAGGAAGCUCUGUAGCCCACCUGGAAAUUGCUCAUGGCCAUCACCGCUCAGGCUCUUUGUAGCUUGGUGCCCUUCAGCCUUUUCAGGUGUCUACCCCAGCUAGACACUGCCCUGGGGUAGACUAGCCUGGGGGGUUGUGGAGGGAGAGGUGCAAUUAAACAGAGCUGCCCAGAACCAGGCAUUACUGAAGACAGUGUCAAGUGAGUGUGCCUUCUCCAGGACGGCCCCCUUCCCAUAGCCCAUGGCUUUAUUCAGCCUCCGCUUGUGGAUUAGCAAAGGCUGGGUUCCACAGGUGCUAUUGAUGCCCACCCAAGGCUCUAACAGAGCUAUCUCUCUGUCCAUUUCUUUGUACUGUUUAAGAAAAGUCGUCUUGUUUAAAAGAUAAAUAUAAGAAAGUCAUGGCUAAGUCAUGGACACUAGUUAGCUGAGUCGUCCCAGGGCCCCUGGUAAUAUUAGCUCAAUUCUUAGAGAAAACUUUCUUUUCUCUCUUGAAAACUGGGUUUUCUCUUUUUCUGUUUUCUGCCCUUAAUCAUCUUUAAGCUCCCUCUUCCUUUCGUCCAAUUUUUUUCCAUCAACCUCUGGUGGCCCUCUUGUGGUCACAGGCCACCUCCAUCUGAAUUCCCUUGGAUGGCUGGAUCAAUGCAGAGCCCUGGGCUUGCUGCAGACCCACUGACACAGUCCUGCAGAGCUGGGAGUUGCAUUUUAAAUAACUCUUCCAGGUCACUUUUUGCUCACUACAGGUUGAGAACCACUGUCCUGGGGACAAGGAACCUGGAAACUUUUAAUUCUCUGAUCUCAUCCUCCAUCUCCCAAGGAAACUUCUUUAGUAAAGGGAGAUGCUGAGAAGGCACAGGGACAGUCUAGGGCUUAGCCUUUCCUUGUCAUCUUGUGUUUACUUGUCUGUCUCCUCUGCUAGACUGUGUGUCUCUAGGAUGAGAAUCAUGUUCUCUUCAGUUCUCCAGAGCUGGGUCUUGGGACGAUGGGUGGGUCACCAUGGACACUCUGCAGUAUUAGUGGAAUGAAUAAAUUGUUGAUGUAACAAACCCUCCCUCCCUCUCUUCUACUCUUUCCUCCUCUCCUUUCUCUUGGGCGCCCCAUUGGCCUUGGGCAUAGAACACCAAUGUUUUAAGAGGCAGUUAAUGUUUAAAGGGACAAAAUCAGGCACAGGCCAGGCAGUGGCUGGUUGCUCAACCGACAAACAAAUCCACCUUCUUCUGUUCUUUCCUAAGCCAACAGGAAGCAGCCAGGAGACGGUCACUCACCCAGCUGGGCUCAGAUCCACCAUCCUCUCCACCCACACAGCAAUUGCGCAAUGUUGCUGCAACAACCUGAGGCUAUAAAUAGUCUAUUAAGAAGUUACACAGGAGAUUGAGCAGGCCUGAUGGGUGGCCCCCAUUUGCUCCCCUUCAGACAAGUGGAGAAAAUUUUUGUAAAGUGCCACUUACAAGAAUCCAAGCCUGGGGCAAAAUAUUCUACCUUUCCCUUGGAUUUCCGUCUGCUCCCCCUGGUUCAGACAGCUUUUUAGGGUCUCUGAUGCUUUCUGCUUAUCAUUGGCCCAUGUGGAAUUUUGUCCUGCUGAUGCAAUAAUAAUGAAGGUAAUGAUAGUAAUUUGUUAGUUGGUCUUCCUUCCUCCCCGUACCUGUGUCCCCUUUUUUUUGUCUUAUCUCUGAUCUCUUCUGCCUGGACAGUGUCAUGUUUUCCACACCAAUUCAUGCCUCCCUCUCUUCAGUCUACAAGGUCAAUUCCAUGCAUUUGCUUUUCUCAUGAUUUUUCUUCAGAAUUUUUCGAUGACUUCUCAUUGCAUGAAACAGUGGCCUACAAUGUUUUCAACACAUACUACCCUUAUUCUUAACAUAUAUAUUAAUUUAUGAAUUAAAUACAUGUGCUACUGCCAGUUCAUAUAAAAUAUUAGGAAAGCUUACUUUCACUAAUUUUUUACUAGCAUAAAUAUAAAUAGGAGUGCUAAUAUUUUCUCCCUGUACUCCAAUGGAUCAUUUUGAAUACCUCACAGUGGCCCACUGAGGAUGACUGACAUUGAAUCAUUCUGCUGGGUCACCAAAGCCUUCUAGGACCUGGUUCCAGGUCAUUCAUUCAUUCACUCAGCAUUUCUUAGUAAUUGCUGUAGCCAGGCCUGGGGCAAGGCUCAGGGGGUAAUAAUAAGUAGUCACAGCCCCAGUAGAUCAGGAGCUUACAUGUGAGUGGAGGAGGUAAACACAUAAGUAAAUAACUCUUGGAGAGACACAUGUAUCAUUGCAGAUGUUUGCAUAAGACCUUAAGGAAGAACAAAGAAAAGAAAAAACUUUGCCUGUGAGAGUCAGGAAAGGUUUUGGGAGGACUUGUUGAGCUGGGUCUUGAAGGAUGAGUAGGAGUUCACCAAAUCACAAAAAGGAAAAGGGCCUUCCAGGCACAGAGAAUACAUAGGAAAGGCACAAAAGUGAAAAAGAAUGUAGGGGAGUCAUAAGAUGUUUUGACAAACUAAAUUCUCCUUUAAAUGUGUUUUUACCAGUCUUCCCCAGAGGAAUGGUGGAAUAUGAAGAGAAAGAAUAAAAUCAGCUGUUCAGGUCUAAUGGGAAGAGAAUAUCAAAAUGGUCAAAUCCUCAUUGCUCUUGGGCUUUGAGACUACUCUCAUAGUUCCUUGAUCAAAGAGUUAAAAAACAAAACAAAACAAAGCAAAACAAAGUGGUCAGCUUUGCUCCACUUCCAAGUAAUGCUGCCAAAGCUGGAUAUGCCAUCAAGCAAUUUGACCUCAAAAACGGCACCUGAACCACAGCCAUAGGUUGAGCAAAGCCCACGUAUCACCAUCAUAUUUUCUUAGGGCAGGUCUGCACACCGUCCCUCCCCGAACAUGCACCCUUAGAUAUCUGCCCCUUCUCAGGGUGCUUGAAGCUGAUGGCCUGGGAUACUAAGAAGGAGCUACAGCAAGGGCCACAGCCCCCAGACAGCAGGAUGUACCUCUCCCCAAAGUCUAAAGGCAAGUUCAAGAAUGUCCAGUGUUAGGACUCACCCUCCAUAUCUGGGAUCAGUGAUUAUUGGGAAGGCUUCCUAAUGACAUGCAGGCAUGUUCCUUGUAGACUCUCAGGAGUCAAUCAACCCAAACUUUACUACAAGCCAAAGUUUUGAAAUACAACACAGUGACAGAUGGAUGUAGUAUAAAAGAAACUGAAAAUGGAGAGUAAGAACUUUUCAUUUCUUUGUCUCCAUAGUUUUCUGGAUGGGAGACACUUGCCAUCUACCUUUCAUCUUUAUUAUGCUUUUGUUAAGAAAUUGAUAUUUGGGAGUUCCUGUCAUGGCACAGUGGGAAAGGAAUCCAACUAGGAACCAUGAGGUUGCGGGUUCGAUCCCUGGCCUUGCUCAGUGGGUUAAGGAUCUGACGUUGCCGUGAGCUGUGGUAUAGGUCGCAGAUGUGGCUCAGAUCUGGCAUUGCUGUGGCUGUUGUGUAGGCUAGCAGCUACAGCUCUGAUUAGACCCCUAGCCUGGGAACCUCCAUAUGCUGC